UACGGAGGAUGCAAGCGUUAUCCGGAUUUAUUGGGUUUAAAGGGUGCGCAGGUUGUUUGAUAAGUCAGUGGUGAAAGUCUGUCGCUUAACGGUAGGAUUGCCAUUGAUACUGUUGGACUUGAAUAUGGAUGGGGUAGGCGGAAUGUGUAGUGUAGCGGUGAAAUGCAUAGAUAUUACACAGAACACCGAUUGCGAAGGCAGCUUACUAAUCCAUCAUUGACGCUGAGGCACGAAAGCGUGGGGAUCAAACAGGAUUAGA
rnacentral:rRNA from 1 species